rnacentral:rRNA from 1 species
AUUGAACGCUGGCGGCAGGCCUAACACAUGCAAGUCGGGCGGAUGAAGGGAGCUUGCUCCUGGAUUCAGCGGCGGACGGGUGAGUAAUGCCUAGGAAUCUGCCUGGUAGUGGGGGAUAACGUCCGGAAACGGGCGCUAAUACCGCAUACGUCCUGAGGGAGAAAGUGGGGGAUCUUCGGACCUCACGCUAUCAGAUGAGCCUAGGUCGGAUUAGCUAGUUGGUGGGGUAAAGGCCUACCAAGGCGACGAUCCGAAACUGGUCUGAGAGGAUGAUCAGUCACACUGGAACUGAGACACGGUCCAGACUCCUACGGGAGGCAGCAGUGGGGAAUAUUGGACAAUGGGCGAAAGCCUGAUCCAGCCAUGCCGCGUGUGUGAAGAAGGUCUUCGGAUUGUAAAGCACUUUAAGUUGGGAGGAAGGGCAGUAAGUUAAUACCUUGCUGUUUUGACAUUACCAACAGAAUAAGCACCGGCUAACUUCGUG